AGAUAAAGAGGUCCUUCAAAACAUAACAGAUUCCCCUGCAUAGUCGUAGUCAAAAGCAGUUUACAGGUGUUGGGUUAAUCAUCAUACCGAGCGCAACCCCUUUUCUUAGUUGCCAUCAGGUUCCAAUGGGCACUCUGGAGACCUCCCCUCGGUAAGGUGUGAGGAAGGCGGGGACGACGUCAAAUCCGCACCUCCCAGAACUCCGGGGCAUCGCACCUGUUGCAAUGGGUGGUACAGACAGCUGGUUGUUCGCAAACAUGAUCUAAUCCUUAAAACCAUUUUCAGUUUGGUAAUGGGGUCUGCAUCCCGACCCCCAUGAAGGUGGAUUUCCUAGUAAUCGCGCAUCAUCCAUGGCGCAGGGACAGGGUGGACGGGCGUUGUUCACCCCUCCCGCCGAGCCAGGCAAACAGGGCGAGCCAGAAGUUCGUGGCCCCAAGGAUCGCAUGAGGGCA
rnacentral:rRNA from 1 species